rnacentral:rRNA from 1 species
CCUUAGUUGCCAGCAUUCAGUUGGGCACUCUAAGGUGACUGCCGGCUAAAAGUCGGAGGAAGGUGGGGAUGACGUCAAAUCAUCAUGCCCCUAUGACCUGGGCUACACACGUGCUACAAUGGGCGGUACAAAGGGUCGCGAACCCGCGAGGGGGAGCCAAUCCCAAAAAGCCGCUCUCAGUUCGGAUUGCAGGCUGCAACUCGCCUGCAUGAAGCCGGAAUCGCUAGUAAUCGCGGAUCAGCAUGCCGCGGUGAAUACGUUCCCGGGCCUU